UGAAACCGUUCGGGGGUAAACGGACAGAGCCCGUGAAUCCGGGCGCGCGGAAUUCAGGACCGACGGCGGGCGUUUCGGCGUUCCGUCGUCGACUCGAUAUUUCCGCCGCCGACCCUCAACCGAGGGUGUCGGACGUCGCGACCCGUUCGCCCAGGUCGAUACUCAGGGACGCGUUUCAAGUUCGCCGGCGCGGUCGUCUCGGCGGCCGCGUCACGAUGGCGCGUUUCCGCUGUUCUCGACGCGGACGGUAGCUUUGCGCGCGGGUAAUCGACGCGGUCCUUCGUCCGGCGUCUCCGUACGUCGGACGGCGCUCGCGUCGACGCCGGUCAGCGACGAAUCUUCGGGCCU
rnacentral:rRNA from 1 species